CAAGAGAAGAAGUCCCAAGAUGACAGCGAGAGGCCAGAUGUGGUGAACUUGGAAACAAAGGCAAAUAAACUGAGAACUACCUGGUCUGAGAAGUGACCAAACAAUGAUUGGGCGCAUUUGUCGUGGCUAAAUAUGUCAAGGUUUCUGGAUAAUUCAGCAUGGGAGCUGUUCAUGAAGAGGAUCGCAAGAGAUCUGAUUUUCAAGAGCCACCUUCAUAUCCUGCUGCAACCUACAAAACUGCCACCGCAUCCACCAUGACAGUCAAGAAUAAGGAAGCUCAGCCAUGGCUGCACAUGGAGCAUAAUCCAAGUUUCACAUCGCAGAAAAUUUGGAGGCGGGAGAUUGAGUUUCUGUAUCGAUCCAUCAAGUCCUGCAUACCUUGGGCAUGAUCUGCUUUACU